rnacentral:misc_RNA from 1 species
UAUCUUCAACCUUCUUGGUUUCUUGAUCAAGAAGGCUUGGAAUUUGGAGGCUUUUGCUGGCUUUCCUCUCAAAGCCAGCUCCUCUUAAAUGAAUUAGUAGGGUCUACUUUGCUGAUCCUUGACGUGAUAAGAUAACUUUCUACGUCUUGGGCUUUUGCAAACCUGCUUCUAACUGUCUCGUCAGAGACUGACCUAUCAUAUAUAUAAAC